rnacentral:rRNA from 1 species
AUUGAACGCUGGCGGCAGGCCUAACACAUGCAAGUCGAACGAGUGGCGGACGGGUGAGUAAUGUCUGGGAAACUGCCCGAUGGAGGGGGAUAACUACUGGAAACGGUAGCUAAUACCGCAUACCAUCGGAUGUGCCCAGAUGGGCUUAGCUAGUAGGUGGGGUAACGGCUCACCUAGGCGACGAUCCCUAGCUGGUCUGAGAGGAUGACCAGCCACACUGGAACUGAGACACGGUCCAGACGCCGACGGGAGGCAGAAGUGGGGAAUAUUGCACAAUGGGCGCAAGCCUGAUUCAGCCAUGCCGCGUGUAUGAAGAAGGCCUUCGGGUUGUAAAGUACUUUCAGCGGGGAGGCGUUACUCGCAGAAGAAGCACCGGCUAACUCCGUGCCAGCAGCCGCGGUAAUUC